rnacentral:SRP_RNA from 1 species
GCUGGGUGUGGUGAUGCAUGCCUGUAGUCCCAGAUACUCAGGAGGCUGAGGCAGGAGGAUCACUUGAGCCCAGGGGGUGGAGGCUACAGUGAGCUGUGAUUGCACCACUGCCCUCCAGCUUGGGCAACAGAGUGAGACCCUGUCUCAA